UUUGAGCUUUUGUUUCCUUCAUUGGUAAAGCCUGAUUCACAAGAGUGUGAAGUAUGAUUUACAAGAGUAAAAGCAAGGUUGUUAUCUUUCGACCUUCAGUGUCAGAACAAAGUUGUUAUUUUUCAAGCGAAGCGUUAGCCCUACACUAAUUUAACCCUUACAAGCUGUGUCCCCGCAGGCCCCCAGUGUCACAACCGCCACUGCCAGAGGCCCGCAGCCGGGCACCUCUCCACCCGUGCUGCCAUGAGAGGGGCCCCGCGCCAUGCCUGUGAGAACACGGGGCGUCCUGGAGUCCCUCGCACCGUGGGCCCGGUCUUCCCUUUAUUCUGAAUGAAGAAGUGGGGGGCGGGGGGAAGAUCCAGCAAGUUUGGACGCUCAGAUGGCCCAGGCCCCUGGAUGGGGCGAGGGACGUGGUCCCCUUCUGGCUCAGGGCGAGGCCCCUGCCCCUGGGUGGGGUAGGAGCAGGGCCGUGGGCUGAGGUGGGGCUUUGGAGACACCCCCCAGAAUGAGAGUGUGGAAGGCUGGAGUCUGGUUCUGUAUUUCAACAUGGAAAGCAUUUUGGGGGCUGUUCUUGCAAGAUACUGGCUGCCUCGCUUCUUGGGGUCUUUACACGACAGCUUUGGAGUGGCUGCCCAGGCGUCUGUCUGCAGUCUGUGGUUGCCCACCUCCCUCCCCUGAGACCCUGGAGGAGGUGGGUGCCCCCCACCCCGGCACCUUCCCCACCUGGCCCAGGUUGGGUCUCGAGACGCCUGCAGCUCCAAGAGCGAAGAGUGGGGUCCAUGUCGUGAGACGAGGUGCUGCUUGUCGCCACGGGGAAAGGCCUUCGCCGGACGAACCCCUGGGCUGGGGUCCUUCCUGCUCGCCAGCGGCCGUGUUCUGACAGCUGGGCGCUGAGGACCCUCACCGUGCCCCCCGUUCAGACACCGGGCUUUGGGUGAAGCUGCCCCCACCCCUGACUCUCGAGGACGCCCAACUCCGGCCUGGCCACUGACAAGAAGCAAGAGCGUCACCUGUCUCCACUUGGAGGUGAACACAGGAGGGGCUGGGACCCGGGCAGGCCCUCAGGCCGCAGUGCAGAGGCCUCUGCAGGGCUUUGCAGAGGCGUGAGGUCGCUUCGCUGCAUCUCGAGGAAGGAGGAGGUGGUCUGCCGGCAGCCAUGGUGGAGCCCAAGAAUGGAGAAAACAAGGAGAGAAAGGAGAGGCAAGAGGCGGAGGAAGAUGGCCUUUCUGCCCCUGGAUACAGCCAUGCCUGCAAGCAGCCUACCCAAGCGCCUUUCAUGUGUAAGAGCCAACACAUCCCAUUCACUGCUAGAGCUGUACGUGUGUGCGUAAGAUUUUCUGUCAUUUCAAGCCAAGAGACUCCUAAUGGACGUGCGUCUGCGCAUUUGAAAGAGUGAAAACGUGAUGACCGUGUGCCUCGUCCCUUGGCGAUAUGACUGAGUUCUGUGGUCACUCAGCUUUGGGGAGGGCUCUGACCCCUUCUGCUCAAGUGCUCCGAUUGGGGGGUGGCGUUUUCAUCUUUUCCUUUGCUCGUUUCUGCAGCCCCAGAAGAAAUUUUGACCCACCAGACAGUCAUCUCUAGAAGGAAUAUCCUUUAUUGUGCAAGGAGGGGCCACAGUGCGGGGGUGGGGCGAAGCGUGUAGCAGGGGGGCCUGCGCGGUGGGGACAGGCUGCGCAGGGCCGCACACGGACGCGCAGGUGGGUGUUCUCGGCAGAAUCCCUGGAGGGUUUGCAGACGGGGAGGGGGGCUGAGCACCCCGAACCUCCAAGUCUAAGUCCCUGUGUACCCGAGACCCCACUUCUUGGCUCUCUGCCCAUGGGGGCAGAGAUCAGGGAAGGGACAGCACAGGAGGUGGGGGCAGGUCUGGGCUCUGAAAGGCAGCCCAGGGGUCAGGGGAGGGGCUCCGUCCACCUCCCGGGCCCCUCUGUGUAACUCAGGCCCUGGAGAAGCCCAGCGGGGCCCAGCUGCAGGGAGGCGCUGCCCACCUGUUUGGGGCCGAUGGCCCCAGUCUCUGAAAUUCUCACGGCGAUCUGAGGGGACACAGUGACCUGGAAUGAGCCCCCGCCCGCCCCCGGCCCACCUGUGGCCACUGGGCGGCCGCUGAACCAAGGGGCCCUGAGGGUGUGGGAGAGGAACAGGCCUUACUGUGAGGGCCCAGAACCACCCUCUGCUUUCUUGGGCGGGCCGAGGCCUUCACAGACGGACUCGAAUCCCCGCAGGAACUUGGGGUGUGUGAUGGGGUCCCAGACUGCGGGGGAACAGGCAUAGGUCCUGCCUGGUGCCGUGCGGAGGGUGGGGGCAGGGCACAGGGGCAGGCCUCAGGCAGGGCUCGGGGGGCACCGGGGGCCGUGGGGCUGUCAGGGUGCCUUGCUCUUGGGAUGGAGAGGAGUGUCUGUGUCUUGGUGAGAAAUGUGGCUGAUGUGGGAGAAGAGACUCCCUCUUCCCUUGGGAUGAGAUGGGAGGAGGUGACCGUCUCCUCUUCCCAGCGCCCUAAAUAGCGUGGAGGUUGAAUCGUGGUCACGGGACUGUCCUGGCGAGAGGGCCACGGGGAAUGAGUGUGUGCGGGUGUGCGGGGCCCAGGGGCUGCGGGCGGGGAGGCUCGGUGGGAGGGUGGCCGGGGCCGGAGCCUUCAGCCAGCAUCUGGCCCCUGACCUCCCUCUCCUGCUGGGUGGGCAACAGGCCCCGCCCCCCAGGGGCUGUGUAGACGCCUGGCUCGAGAGACUCCUUUCCCGCAGGGGACCACACGUACCCAGCAGGUUGGCCAUCAGGCUGGUCGCACUCUUGGAACGGUUGGUCACAUAGAGAAUCACGUAGUCCUUGGGUUUCACCUUGACCAGGUAGAGAUCGUCGUUUCUUCCAGAAACUGUGGAGGAUGCUGGGGCUGAUACAGGCUGGGAGAUGGGUGGCCGCCCAGUGGGGAGACUACAGGCCCACUUUCUGUGCGUGCGGGCGGUGCCUCCCGUCCUGCCCCGCCUCGUGGGGACAGGGGCUCUGCCCCCCUGAGAGUAGCUGCCAGCCGCCAGGCUGGCCGGGGGCCUGAGUCCUGGUGCCCACCCAUCCCUCAGGCACAGAGCUGCAGGGUCCUUGCCACAUGGCUCUAAACCCAAGAGCCAAACCUUGGGGCUGUGCCCUUGGGGGGCCCAUUGUCUGCACACGGUACACUUGAAUUGGUUUUUCUGAUCGGUCUUGACUGUAGUGACAGGAGACUUGCCUGCACUGGCCUUCUUCCCUGCAGUCAAAGGGGGUGGGGUUACUCUGUCCACCUGCCCUUUUUAAUUUCUUUAUAAAUUUUAUUUAUUUAUUUACCUA